GAAUAUUGGACAAUGGGGGGAACCCUGAUCCAGCCAUGCCGCGUGUGUGAAGAAGGCCUUUUGGUUGUAAAGCACCUUAAGCGAGGAGGAGGAGCUCUUGGUUAAUACCCAAGAUUCUUGGACGUUACUCGCAGAAUAACCACCGGCUAACUCCGUGCCAGCAGCCGCGGUAAUACAGAGGGUGCAAGCGUUAAUCGGAUUUACUGGGCGGAAAGAGCGCGUAGGUGGCGAAAUAAGUCAAAGGUGAAAUCCCCGAGCUUAACAUGGGAAGUGCAUUCGAUACUGGUGGGCUAGAGUAUGGGAGAGGAUGGUAGAAUUCCAGGUGUAGAGGGGAAAUGCGUAGAGAUCUGGAGGAAAACCGAUGGCGAAGGCAGCCAUCUGGCCUAAUACUGACACUGAGGUGCGAAAGCAUGGGGAGCAAACA
rnacentral:rRNA from 1 species